AUUGGGUGCUUUGUGGUGUAGGAAAAUAAAGUAAUAAAGAUGGCAAAGGGAGCAGCAAUCUUCGUUCUGGUCUUGGCAUUUGCCUUUGUGUUUCUAAUGGACUCUGCUUACUCUGAUGCACCAAUGACUAUGGAAAAUGUGCAAGACAAAGCAAAUAAAGCAAUGGGAAGUGCCAAGGCACC